rnacentral:rRNA from 1 species
UACGGGGGGAGCAAGCGUUGUUCGGAUUUACUGGGCGUAAAGCGCACGUAGGCGGAUUGUUAAGUCAGGGGUGAAAUCCUGGAGCUCAACUCCAGAACUGCCUUUGAUACUGAAGAUCUUGAGUCCGGGAGAGGUGAGUGGAACUGCGAGUGUAGAGGUGAAAUUCGUAGAUAUUCGCAAGAACACCAGUGGCGAAGGCGGCUCACUGGCCCGGUACUGACGCUGAGGCACGAAAGCGUGGGGAACAAACAGG